rnacentral:rRNA from 1 species
AGUGAACGCUGGCGGUAGGCCUAACACAUGCAAGUCGAACGGCAGCACAGUAAGAGCUUGCUCUUACGGGUGGCGAGUGGCGGACGGGUGAGGAAUACAUCGGAAUCUACUUUUUCGUGGGUGAUAACGUAGGGAAACUUACGCUACUACCGCAUACGACCUACGGGUGAAAGCAGUGGAGCUUCGGACCUUUCGCGAUUGAAUGAGCCGAUGUCGGAUUAGCUAGUUGGCGGGGUAAAGGCCCACCAAGGCGACGAUCCGUAGCUGGUCUGAGAGGGUGAUCAGCCACACUGGAACUGAGACACGGUCCAGACUCCUACGGGAGGCAGCAGUGGGGAAUAUUGGACAAUGGGCGCAAGCCUGAUCCAGCCAUACCGCGUGGGUGAAGAAGGCCUUCGGGUUGUAAAGCCCUUUUGUUGGGAAAGAAAAACAGCAGGUUAAUCCACCGCUGUUCUGACGGUACCCAAAGAAUAAGCACCGGCUAACUUCGUG